UACGGAGGGGACUAGCGUUGUUCGGAAUUACUGGGCGUAAAGCGCGCGUAGGCGGUUUUGCAAGUCGGGGGUGAAAGCCCGAGGCUCAACCUCGGAACUGCCCUCGAUACUGCAAAUACUCGAGUCCGAGAGAGGUGAGUGGAAUUCCUAGUGUAGAGGUGAAAUUCGUAGAUAUUCGCAAGAACACCAGUGGCGAAGGCGGGUCACUGGCUUGGUACUGACGCUGAGGUGCGAAAGCGUGGGGAGCAAACAGG
rnacentral:rRNA from 1 species